rnacentral:rRNA from 1 species
UACGUAGGGGGCAAGCGUUGUCCGGAUUUAUUGGGCGUAAAGAGCUCGUAGGCGGUUUGGUAAGUCUGGUGUGAAAUCUCCACGCUCAACGUGGAGGGGCCACCCGAUACUGCCAUGACUGGAGUCCGGUAGAGGAGUGUGGAAUUCCCGGUGUAGCGGUGAAAUGCGCAGAUAUCAGGAGGAACACCGGUGGCGAAGGCGCCACUCUGGGCCGAGACUGACGCUGAGGAGCGAAAGCGUGGGUAGCAAACAGG